UAGCAUUUUCCCCUCCUCUUUUACAAUGCCUGGAUUUUUUGCACCUUUGCUACAUCAGAUUGCUUCAUUAAAUGUUCAACCCUUGAUCUUGCAAUCCCAAUGCAGGACAAACGCUAGCUGAUGUAUUCUGGAAAUCAGGGAGUGCAUUGGGCCCUGAACAGUGAAAAGGCAAAGAGAAAUGAAAAUAGAAAAUACUGCAUAAAAGGAAGUGGGCCAGAUACACAGCUGGUGUCAGUUGGCAUAGCGUCAUUGGGGUCAGCAGAGUUACACCAAUUUACACCAUUUAGGAUCUAGCCCAAAAUAGUCACAUUGGUAGGAAAAAUUGGACCAGAUCCUGGCGCUCACCCCAAUUUCUUUGUGCUGCUCUCGGAAGGGUGGGAAGGCCAGUAGAGGGGGUCUCGUCCCAGCUUCUCCAGCAUGGCCCAGGGAAGAGAGGUGUGGCCUCAACCAGGCCCUUUGGCAAUCCCUGGUUGCUGGAAUGACCUUUACUGGAGAGAGCAGCCAGCAUAAAAAAGAAAUGUCCUAAGGUAUCUCCAUUUUGUUUCAGGGACUAGUCUUAUGCCCAGCCAGCCCCAGGGACAGAAGUGGGGUAUAAGUGAGGUCUAAUGAUUUAAGCCACCUUUGUAGCUCCCCCCUCUUGAAUUGUGCUGAGCGCAGCUCAGAAAAACCAAGAAUCUGGGACACCGUAUUUGAGAUUAAGGAAGAGCUCUGGUCUAAAUCUCUAGCUUCAAAUGCUCAUUCCUCUCUCUUUUCUCUUUUCAAGCAAAUUCCAAGCAAAAAAAGUCACCUUAAACGAGAGCGUGGAAGCACUCAGCAAUCAGGAAAUGGAGAGUGACAGGCUAAUCAACCUCCAGUCCGCAUCUACUGUCUUAAUUCCUCAACUAAGACAAAUUCAGGACCCAAAACUUACCAGAAGUCGAAGCGAGAGGCAGAGUCCAAGUUCCGAAGCCCGAGGUCAAAGCAGGAGGCAGAAUCCAAGCCUAAAAGCCAGGGUUCAAGGGGGAAAGCCAGAGGUCUGAGUCAGGGUUGAAGUCCAGGAGUGAGUCAAGGGGCAGGUUAGUCGCUACAGCUGGCUAGGGAGUCUAUGCAGCUAGGUGAACACGUCCUGAAACUUCUCUUGGGCUUAAACAGGGCACCUAGGCCAAUCAGGGACCACAAGGGAAGUGAUCAGUCUGGCAUUCCGUAUUGAUACUUCCUGUGGUGUUUAUCUCCACAGGGUCAAUGUGAUAAUGCAUAUGGCUCUAUCAUGGCUGUCCGGUAACUCUGUAGAGAGGCUGUCUGCCCCUCAGGCCCAGGAUCUAGUCCCUACAGAACCUUACACUGAUAUUCCAGCCUCAACCCCCUGGAGAAACCGUGCACCAGAGGAAUUCUCAGCUGGGGAGAGGAGAAGGGGCCUGACCCAGAAUCAGAGCCAACACUUUCAUCAGUUCACUGAGACCAAGAACAUUCCUUGUGCAAUAAAGCGUAGUUAUUCCCAGCA
rnacentral:lncRNA from 1 species